CCGCCGCCCCCAUCUCCCGACCUCUUCUUCGGGCGCGGCCGCAGGAGCAUCUCCACCUCUCCACUCCCUCACGCAACAGCACUCCAAACCCCCACCCCCACGCCCGGCUGCCGCUAGGGUUUCUUACCCUCGCUGCCCCGCCGCGACUCGUGUUGCGGGCAGUGAGGAUGGGAGCGGGUCGGUCGUGUCGCUUAGUGGGUGGAUGGUUGGGGAACGGCGGAUCCAGGCCCUGGCGUGGUCCUCUCCCUUCAACUCGCGCCGCCGACCUGGGCUCCCUCUUCUUCCACGGCCACAGCCUGGGGUUGCUGCCGGCUAGACGAAUAAUUAUGUGCAGGCUGCCACGACAAAGGGUUUGACUCCUACACCAAUCUCAUCAAGGUAAGGUGGCCUGCUAGACGAAUUACACUCAGAUUAGUUCAAUAUAUAGUGAUUCAGCCAGCAAAGGACUAAUAAUUAUGUGCAGGCUGCUGUUCUUGACACUCCUGAUGUUGUUUUUCAGAGCAAUGCCACGCUAAGGUAUAUAUUGUUACAUAAUCUGAAUCCAAGUCUUACUGAUUCUACACCUAAACUGACCGCUAUUUUCUUUUUUUCUUCAGUUGCUCGUUCAAAGGGUGACAACCUGCUAUGGGGUGGUUCUCUUAUUGAACAUGUGAGUAAUAUAACCUGCUAUGGGGUGGUUCUCUUUAUUCCACACUACCUAAACUGACCACUGUUUGCAAGCUUUAGUGCUUACUUGUUAAUAAUCAUGGGGUUCGGACCACGGUACUAGCGUCCCCUUGUCAUUGGCGGCAGCUUGGGUGAUUGAUCUAUAUAUCAUGAGUCAGGCUGAAUCACGAGUGAUUAAACUGGUUUUAGCAUGAGCUUGCAGUAUACAAAAUCUGAAUUUUUCACCACGUUCUGUAUUAAAUAGGAUGAACUAAGAUGAACCAUGUAUUUUAGUUCUAAGGAGAUAGAUCAUAAUUGUUGUGUGCUAAUACUUUGAACGAACUCCUUUUUUAAUCUUUGUGUAGGUUUUAUAUUUCUGCAGAAUUAUGUGAUGGAGCCUUGAUAUGUACCAUGACUUAAGUUCUGGACGUGCAUCGAGUAAAUGCAGCAGCCUUGAUGUUUGAAGUUACAGGGGCAUGGACUCUAAUUUGCAACCACAAAGUUUAUACCGUUGUUGUGUGGGUCAGUCUGGUAUGUUCCUUUCAUAACACAUGGAAUGCUUUAUUCCUCUGUCUACCUUGUCUAACCAUAUUUUUGUCGGUAUUUAGGGAAAUUUGCACAUCCAACUAUUUGAUCUGGGAAAUGCAACGCCUCGCCACAGAAGGGGGCUAGCCCGUCCAUGCUCACCGGUCUGGUUGUCUGGGGGCGAGGAGGGGGCGCAGCCGCGCCCGGAGGAGGUCAUCUCGGCGCCCGCAUCCUCGUCGUCUACAUUGCCCACACAGCAGGUCGUCGCUGCUGAUUAGAUCCUCUUGAAAAUAGUUAAUUUAAACUCAAGUAAAAAAAUCCCAUGUUGUUUGCUGGCCUCUUUUGAAGUUUAUUCUAACUUGCUAUUGAUUAGAUCCUCUUGCAGUUAUGUUGUGUUGUUCCAUAAAUUGCAGGCUUGAUGUAUAUAUCUAUGACUGUUUUCCCAAGAAUAACAUGCAGACGACGGCCAACGCAUUCAUGGUGGAGGGAAAGAUUGGUGUUGAUCCUGUUUGUA
rnacentral:lncRNA from 1 species